rnacentral:rRNA from 1 species
GACUGGGCGUCGAGCGAACAAAUAAGGUAGCUUGCUCCUUUGACGUUAGCGGCGGACGGGUGAGUAACACGUGGAUAACCUACCUAUAAGACUGGGAUAACUUCGGGAAACCGGAGCUAAUACCGGAUAACAUAUUGAACCGCAUGGUUCAAUAGUGAAAGGCGGCUUUGCUGUCACUUAUAGAUGGAUCCGCGCCGUAUUAGCUAGUUGGUAAGGUAACGGCUUACCAAGGCAACGAUACGUAGCCGACCUGAGAGGGUGAUCGGCCACACUGGAACUGAGACACGGUCCAGACUCCUACGGGAGGCAGCAGUAGGGAAUCUUCCGCAAUGGGCGAAAGCCUGACGGAGCAACGCCGCGUGAGUGAUGAAGGUCUUCGGAUCGUAAAACUCUGUUAUCAGGGAAGAACAAAUGUGUAAGUAACUGUGCACAUCUUGACGGUACCUGAUCAGAAAGCCACGGCUAACUACGUGCCAGCAGCCGCGGUAAUACGUAGGUGGCAAGCGUUAUCCGGAAUUAUUGGGCGUAAAGCGCGCGUAGGCGGUUUUUUAAGUCUGAUGUGAAAGCCCACGGCUCAACCGUGGAGGGUCAUUGGAAACUGGAAAACUUGAGUGCAGAAGAGGAAAGUGGAAUUCCAUGUGUAGCGGUGAAAUGCGCAGAGAUAUGGAGGAACACCAGUGGCGAAGGCGACUUUCUGGUCUGUAACUGACGCUGAUGUGCGAAAGCGUGGGGAUCAAACAGGAUUAGAUACCCUGGUAGUCCACGCCGUAAACGAUGAGUGCUAAGUGUUAGGGGUUUCCCGCCCCUUAGUGCUGCAGCUAACGCAUUAAGCACUCCGCCUGGGGAGUACGACCGCAAGGUUGAAACUCAAGGAAUUGACGGGACCCGCACAAGCGGUGGAGCAUGUGGUUUAAUUCGAAGCAACGCGAAGAACUUACCAAAUCUUGACAUCCUUU